UCAAGUAGAUUUUUAGAGAAGAAAAUAUUAAACCUAUAUAGCUCAUUGGCUGAGACUAUCAUCUUGUGGCUUUUGGCAGUUUCUCAAGAACAAGUAUGCAAGUUUGAAGUCCCACAUAAAGAAAUAAAUACACUAGUAUCCUAAUUCGUCCCACAUAAUUAAGUAUCAUCGAUUAUAAUAGACUAUGUCAAAAUAAAAC
rnacentral:lncRNA from 1 species